CAUUAGUACUUCCCAUGGGUCAAUCAAAAAAAGGAAAAAAAACUACUUCCCAUGGGCGAGACGAGAGCUUGUGUUUUUUGCAACCACAUUUGUUUUUGUUUUUUUUUUUUUUUUCUCUGUUGCUUGCGAGCUCAGCUCUGUUGUGGUACCUACCACUCGGUUUGAUUUCUGUGAAAUUCUGAGAAAAAAAACAAGGUGUCAACCGUCGCCUUUGCCCCAGGUUAAGAAACGUUCAUUUUGAGAGGAUGGAUCGAAACGGCCAAACCCCCCAAAAUCCGGUGAUUUCAAAUAAAGGCAUACGUGGAGCCGCAGAGGUUAGGAAUUUCAUACGUCUCUUCGCGAUCCCUAGCCCUAACCAAAACUAUUCCUAUCUUUCAACUCAAAUGCCGCUGUGACUGAUUGCUUAACGAUCAGAUUGAAAGCUUUAAUUUCAAAAGCUGUUUAUGGCCUAUUCAACAGUUUCAGCUUAAAGGCGGCUGUGAAUUUAGUGAUCAGAUUGAGGGAUUCAAUUUUGGAAGCUCUCUAUCACCUACUGAACAGUGAUGAAGCACUCGGUUUCUUUGAAGCAUUUCAUGAGCUUCUUGCCUAUCUCGUCUCAUUUCUGGCUGCCUUAAUUGGAUUACACUUUCAAGUCUUGGGUGUCUCACCACUUGAAACACAUUUUGCUAUCAUCUUGCUACUCAUCAUGGCUACAAUCAUCUAUAGCAUUGCGUAUGUGGAGAUAAAACUACUACCUCGAAAUGCUGAACUCCCCUUAUUCAGGUUCAUUUGUCUGGUUUCUGGAAUUAUUGCCAUUGAGCUACUUGUCGCAAUAAUCAUUUCUCCCUUUUGGCUAUUCAUGGUUAAUUUUUGUCCAAUCCUGAUCGUCGGGGUACUGCGUCAUUCAUACCAACAAAUAUAUCAGUGUCUUUACUACAUGGCUAAUUUAGUACUCAAUGCAAUAUGUAGUUUGUUUGACAAGAUUUAUCAAUUAGUUUAUAAGAUAUAAGACUGUCUCCUACAAAAAUUCCAAUAAACAGCUUCUCAAGCAUUUUCUUCAAGAGAACCAGAAGACAAUGCUAUUCUGAUCAAAGAAAUUGUUUAAGUGACUUGUUAUUGUUAAUUGACAUGAAGUAAACAAAAUUUUUACUUUUCUGUUUGUGGAAGUUUCAAUUUAUGUACUAUGUAUUCAAAGUUAGGUUUAUUAUACUAUAUUCAGCAUAUGUUUUUAUACUUUACUAAAGUUCUCACAUCCAACUGCCUAGAUAAUAAAUUUUGCUAUUCAAUUUUGCAAAUUUCAACUAGAUUAUUAAGGUUAAAAGAUUUUAUGGAAAGUGAGUUUCCAUUUUAUUUUUAACUCCAAAAAUUCAUUAGUAAGUGAAACAAAACCAGACAGGCCAGAAAACUAGGACACCACAUCUGAUCCAACCAUGGCAACCAUAUGAAAAUACUACAAAUUGACAAAACAGUUACCAAAGCUUAGACCAAAAACAUGCUGCCACUUUAGCCAUAUUGAUUGUGUCUCUCAAGAUCUGGGAAUGAACCCUUCUAACUGACAUUUGCACACCUUGUGGUUCCUUGACAGGAUACUGAUGCUUGUGAUUCCUUAUUAAAAAAAAUAAAUUAAAAAAUAAAAAUUGGAUGCUUGUGAAUCCUUUCCUUAGUAGUAGAGUCAGCUGGUGAUAGAGUUAAACUGAUUGCAGUAUCCUUUUGUGUUGCAUUCCCAAUAGUGGCAUCUGCAUGAUCUGUCUGUGUCUUUGCACACAUAAGCAGUUGCCCUCCAUUUGUUUCUUUUGGAAAUCAAAAUGACAUGCCAUGACUAUACUUGCCAAUUCUGGAUCCUUUUUCUGCUAACACCAGCAUUGCAUUGCAACUGCAUACCUCACCACAUUUAUCAUGAUUCUCUAGUAUUUCUGAUAAAAUAAUGUUUGAAAUCCAUUUGGACCCAAGGGCCUUUGAGAGGGCAUACAAUACUUUUGCUAUUGAUCAGUGUCUAGGCACUGCAUGUCUAUUGCUUGAAGUUGACUCAAAAUAUGUUCUACAGAGAAUUAAUAUGGAUUCCACUAAAAUGAUCCACUACUCCUUGUUGAUCCAUUGAUCAUCUGCCAUUUUGAGCCUUAAGAUUCUGUUAUUCAGUUUUCAUUUGUUCACCAACAUAUGAAAAUACUUGGUAUUUCUCUCAUCAACCACCAGCCUGAUUGAGCUUUUUGAGUCUACAUAAUUUGCUCCCUUUCUAGUAACACUGAGAUUUUUAAAGGGAAUGCUAUAGAAUUCUUCUUUUUGCAGACCUUUCUUUUUGGAUGAAUAAGAUAUUUAUCCAAUACAGGAAACAGCUAAGCAAAAGAAUUACCUCAGGAAAUUGACCCCUAGGUGUACCUGCCUCUUCUAAUCUUUGCAUGCUCUCUAGCACUGCAACAGCAAGAUUGUGUGCCUAAAAAUUCCUUUGUUGGCCACUGUUACUGUUCUUCCUUCCUUCCCAAAUUUCUUGAAAAACAUAUCUAAUAGGAAUUUGAAUUUCCCAUCAAAUUUAAUGAAAUCCUCUGCAACUGCUUAUGUGCUUAGUACUAGUCAUGGACAGUAUUCAGUUUUGAAGUAGAUGGACCUUACUACAACUACACCAUAUUUAAAGGGAAGUGCAAAUUAACCCUAGUAAUUGGUCAAAUGUGAGAAUGGUUGUUCCCUAGACCACAAAGAUCUCUUUGAUUUGAGUAAUUGAGUCCAUGCAGGAUUACAAGCAAAGUUCUCCAGUCUCUUUAUAAUCAAUCUCUUAAUACUGACUUCCCACAUAUGGCUCAGUGUGUCAUGUUGUUUGUGUCUUAUGAGAACUGAACUCAAGCGCAGUCGCACUUUGCAUCUAUAUUACUAUUUAAGGGGCUUCUCCUGUUUGGAUUCCACAUUUUUCAUGCCUAAGAUAUCCUCAUCAUACCCAUUUACAAGUUUUCAACUACCUGGGAUAGAUAUGUAAAUUAAAACUCCUACACUUUAAAACCACAAACUCACGUACGCUUUGCAGUUUCUAUCUCACUUUCUCUCUCUCAUUUU